ACCAACGUCUGAAUGAAAAUGACAUAUUGAUAUACGUGACUUGUGACCAUGAUUCAAGUUAUAUUUUUUAAUGCAACUAGGGUAGGCCCGCCCUACGGGCGGGUUAGCAAAUAAACAAAUAAAAUAAAUUACUUAAAAUAUUUAUCUUAUUUUAAACUGAAAGUAAAAUUAAUUUUCAUGCUUUUUUAUUAAAACAAUUUAAUUAUUUAUUUUAAAACCGUAAACUUAUUAAUUAUUAAAAGUUUUAGAAAAGAUGUAAUGAAUAGUACUUUUCAUCUGUAUAUAUAAAAAUAACUUCAUAUCCAAUAGUUUUAAGGAAAAUUUGAUCACAUAUACAUAACUAUCACCAAUUAAGUUUCUACAGAUAACAACUUUUAGUCUAUGAUAUUUUUGUAAUAAUUUCCAUAUUAUCCUUGACACAAACAGUAGGAAACUAUGUAGUUACUGUAAAAUAUUAUGCAGUGUAUUUGUUAUCAUAAGUUAACUAUAAAAAUUAUUACUCAUUCCGUUCGGAUUUACUUGACGUUCUAAAUAAUUUUUUUGUCAAUAUAUUCGAAGUUCUCAGAAUUCUAUGUAAAGAAUAAAGAAUGAUAAAAUAUGACUUUUUCUAUCUUUGUAAUUAAUGAUCUUUAGUGGGAUGAUAUAAACCUAAUUUAGCAUUGAAAACUAACGAAAAGAUUAAAAUAGACAUUACAUUAACUUUUUUAAUUUAUUUGCAGCCAUCAUGUAAUUCCAAGCGGAAGAAAGUACUAUUUUUAUUAAAAAAAUGUAAGAAUUAUUACUCGAACUUAUUCAGAAAACUGACAGUUGUUUUUUUUUAUUUCUUUGAAUUGGAUUUUGAUCUAAACGUAAUUAAAUAACUCUAUUCAAUAAAGGUAAAAAAAAAACAUUAUAGAACUCUCAAAUUUUAUGAAAAUGGGGAAAGUAAAAGAUUUUUGUUUCGUUCUUACGUAAGUGCAAAUAAAUAAUUGAGAUGUGGUGAAUAAUCAGCUAAAUUAGCCGGUAAUAUUGCUUAUUACACAUAAUACAAAAAAUAAAACAAAAAGUUUGAACAUCGUACAAUUUGUUUUUUAUUUGCUUGAAAAUGUAAAUUUAAAUAUCUGAUCGGACGGUUGCAUAACCAUUUACUCUUUCUUUUUAUAUUUUCGUCACUAUCAUCUUAAAAUGCCAGAAGAGAAAUUAACUUCGCCGUGUCAAGCAUAUGUCACACAGAAAAUAUUAUAGUUGGACACGUGUGUAGUCUGAAAAUGAGGGGCAUCUUUAGCUGGAUUUAAAGUUUAUGCAUCUUAUUUGGGCCUCAAUGAUAAGCCCGAUUUGUUGUAACCAAAUUGUCCUUUAGAGCCUUAACAACGACAAAAAAAGGAAGCGACUUCGUCUGUUAUCAGCUUCCUCCACCCCGUGAAGCUUCUUCUCCGUCCUCCUCCAACUUUCUUUACCAAGACAAAAACAAAUCGAAAUCAAAACUCGCAGAGAGAGAGAGACAGAGACAGAUUCAGAGAGCGAGAGAGAGAGAGAUUUGCCCGUGACAUAGCGAGGCAGGGAGAGAGAGAGAGAGAUCCGGCGUGGCGCAGAGAGGAGAGAGGCGGUGAGAGAGAGGAGACCGGUGGUGGUGACUCUCGUCUUCUCUACCGCUCAGUCUCCGUCAGUCUUUUCUCCAGCUCUUUCCCGUUUCAGAUCUAAUGAAGAAUCGUGAAAGUCCCCGGCGGCAUCGAAGAAGAAGAAGGAUUUGCCCUUUUUUUUUGUGAAUCCGUAUUAUGAUUAGAAGCCCAUCACGAAUUAUAACAAAAUAAAGCCCAAGAAGAAUUCACUUAAAUGAAACGAUGCCGAGAGAAGCGUGGACACGUGUCAGCUCUAUAAAAAAGGAGUUUCCACGUGGACAGCCUAGGAGGGAGGCAAACAUAUUUAUAUAUAUAUAGAUAUUCCUGUGGUUUUUCUACACAAAGCUAGCUCUUCCUCUAACCAAUUUUUGAGGUUUUAAAACAAGAAACGUGUGGAAGAGAUUUUAUUAUAAACCGGAUAAGCUGCAAAAAAAAAAAGACAAUGUAAAAUCACACAUAUAUAUAAUAUAAGUUUCUAUUAGAAUAUACAAAAUCUCCUCCUACCACACACUUAACAUAUCAGUGAUUUAUUAUGUUUUUAUAUUGAAUAAUUUUUACGUGCAUUCAAUUAAACUUAGAACUUUUGAUAUUUAGAGGGUGGGGAAAAUGCAAUAAGUGAGAGGUGAAAAAUGGUAUGGUCAGACCGGAGACAUGUG